rnacentral:rRNA from 1 species
ACGCUCGACACCUACUGGAGGCAGCAGUGAGGAAUAUUGGUCAAUGGGCGCUAGCCUGAACCAGCCAAGUAGCGUGAAGGAUGAAGGCUCUAUGGGUCGUAAACUUCUUUUAUAUAAGAAUAAAGUGCAGUAUGUAUACUGUUUUGUAUGUAUUAUAUGAAUAAGGAUCGGCUAACUCCGUGCUAGCAGCCGCGUAAUCUGAGCGGGCUGCAAGGC